ensembl:misc_RNA Metazoa_SRP Metazoan signal recognition particle RNA
GCUGUGUUGAAAAUAAAGCAGGGCCCCAGCUGCUCAGGAGGCUGAGGUGGGAGGAUCACUUGAGCUCAGGAGUUCUGGGCUACUAUGCACUAUGCCAGUCAGGUGUCCGCACUAAGUUCAGCAUCAAUAUGGUGACCUCCCAGGAGCGUGGGACCACCAGGUUGCCUAAGGAGGGGUGAACUGGCCCAGUAGGUCAAAACUCCUGUGCUGAUCAGUAGUGGGAUUGUGCCUGUGAAUAGCCACUGCACACCAGCCUGGGCAACAUGGGGAGACCCUGUCUCUU